rnacentral:rRNA from 1 species
UACGGGGGGGGCAAGCGUUGUUCGGAAUUACUGGGCGUAAAGGGCUCGUAGGCGGCCAACUAAGUCGGAUGUGAAAUCCCCAGGCUUAACCUGGGAACUGCAUCCGAUACUGGAUGGCUUGAAUCCGGGAGAGGGGUGCAGAAUUCCAGGUGUAGCGGUGAAAUGCGUAGAUAUCUGGAGGAAUACCGGUGGCGAAGGCGGCAUCCUGGACCGGCAUUGACGCUGAGUGAGCGAAAGCCAGGGGAGCAAACGGG